AUCUCCGUACGGUUUGGGGUGGUUGCUGAAACGGCGUCGUCAUCUUAUCAUUUUGGUUGAGGCUUGGAUGCGCCGAAUGAGGAUAAACGAACUUACACAGUAGGCCGUUGAUAGCGGUCACUGACUCUGAUCAGCGUUUGACAGAGGUAAGGAAAGGCUUUGCGUCCUGUGGUGUAUUUUUGUUUUUAAUUGUAUUUAUUUAUAUUUUUUAUUUUUUGGAUGGAGGACGGUUUUGAACUUUGUUGUGAUGACAGUGGGUACAUCAGAUUCCAUGCUCUCUCGCCAAGGAUUUCUUUCCAACUUUUUCAAUUCCCUCCACUCACCCUUUCUUAUCCACCUCACACUUUUUCUUAAUUCCUAUUGUACAAUAUAUAUUAGGCGUAAGAUGCUAAUAUUUUAUUAUUUAUUUCAAUGGCUUCCCACAAUCUCCUUUCUCUAUUUCUCAUUCCCUCUGUUGCACUCAUCUCCUAGUCACGCACAUAAAGUCCUUAUUCUAAAUAUAUAUAUUUAUAUGUAGGUUUUAGACAUCCAUUGCCAAUGCACAUGUGCGCUUUCUGAUCAUUACAUUAUAUUUUAGUUCAGAGAAGAUUUUAUGCUAUUUCUGUAAUAAUGUUUCAAUUCUGGAUUUACUAAAGCUUCUCUAUAUCAAAUAUGAUUUUCAUAUUGCUAUAUAUCCUUCCCUUUGGAUUUAUUGUUUGUGCCCUUGAUCCAGUAAUCUACUAAAGAUGCUGGUUUCCAAGUACUGUUGUUGAACUGUGAAAUAUUAUUCUUACAUUCAAGAGCAAGUAUUCAUGUAAUGUAAUGUAUUAUUCUUAUAAGAAUGUGUGUACUAAUUCCCAUAUAUAAAAGACCCUUUACUUGUGUUCAUAAGUAUAUGAAUGUUCACUUGUGAUUAGCCCUCAGUAAGCAGUCAAUAACCGUAUGAAAUUGUCAAAGGAAGUUAACAGCCUUGGCAGGAAGCACAUGAUUUCGCGUCCCAACCUU
rnacentral:lncRNA from 1 species